CCUACGGGUGGCAGCAGUAGGGAAUAUUGCUCAAUGGGGGAAACCCUGAAGCAGCAACGCCGCGUGGAGGAUGAAGGUUUUAGGAUUGUAAACUCCUUUUGUGAGAGAAGAUAAUGACGGUAUCUCACGAAUAAGCACCGGCUAACUCCGUGCCAGCAGCCGCGGUAAUACGGAGGGUGCAAGCGUUACUCGGAAUCACUGGGCGUAAAGAGUGCGCAGGCGGGCUUGUAAGUCAGAUGUGAAAUCCUGUAGCUUAACUACAGAACAGAAUUGGAAACUAUGAGUCAAGAGUGGGGGAGAGGAAGUGGAAAUCUUGGGGGAAGGGGUAAAAACCG
rnacentral:rRNA from 1 species